CGUCAAUACGCUCCGAAAUAACGAAUGCAUCCGCCUAAAUGGAUCAAUUGGUAUAUUUUACGUUACACAUCGUGAGCUCUAUUUUUUUCGGUAUUAAAGUAAUUCUACAUAAGCGGGGGUAAUUUUACACUAGAUGCCCAACGAAUCUUUACGGCGAAAUGUAACCAGAACAAUGGGCAGCAAACUUUUUAAAUACCACUGCCAAACCACUGAGAUUUGACAACAGAAAUACAUAAUUUUAUUUGUAUUCAAAGUCGCACAUCUAGAGGGGGCAGGGGUUGAUCAGAAAUUUCAGGCUUUUUAUUAAGACCCUUAGUCUAUUGAAUCAAAUAAUUUCAAUAUUUUACAGACUUUUUUGGAUUUUUUUGUG